rnacentral:rRNA from 1 species
GUGAGGAAUAUUGGUCAAUGGGCGGGAGCCUGAACCAGCCAAGUCGCGUGAAGGAAGAAGGAUCUAUGGUUCGUAAACUUCUUUUGCAGGGGAAUAAAGUGCAGGACGUGUCCUGUUUUGUAUGUACCCUGAGAAUAAGGAUCGGCUAACUCCGUUCCAGCAGCCGCGGUAAUACGGAGGAUCCGAGCGUUAUCCGGAUUUAUUGGGUUUAAAGGGUGCGUAGGUGGUUUGAUAAGUCAGCGGUGAAAGUUUGCAGCUUAACUGUAAAAAUGCCGUUGAAACUGUCGGACUUGAGUGUAAAUGAGGUAGGCGGAAUGCGUGGUGUAGCGGUGAAAUGCAUAGAUAUCACGCAGAACUCCGAUUGCGAAGGCAGCUUACUAAGCUACAACUGACACUGAAGCACGAAAGCGUGGGGAUCAAACAGGAUUAGAAACCCCUGUAGUCC